ensembl:lncRNA
CGAACAAGCAAUCGUUAGUCUGCUCUCUGUUCAGUUCAACCCCCUAUGCCUAGUGCUUCAGUUAACUCUCGUUUUGCGUUCCUUUUUUUCCAGCCUGGACUUCCACCUGCUCAAAGCCAGUCCGUCAACCCAUCUCAAGCCUCAGCCGUCCGUUGCCACUUCGGAUCCUUCCCUGUUCCAGACCAUCCACACUACACCUGAUUCAUGCCACCACAUGCACCUCACGCCGUCUUUGUCCACUGCAUAAUGUGUGGUGACGUCUAUGUGUCAGAACAGCCGCUACAGAGACAACAUGUUGGAAAGGUGUGCUUGGCACAGACGCUGUGGCGGCAGGUGAUGUCUAUCAGCAAUCAUCAUCAGCAGAAGUACGAGCAGAAUCACCUGGCUUCCUGGUCUCCACAACUCGCCAGUCCGUUACCAUCGCCUCACAGCCCAGUUAACCCCCCGGAUACUCACCUGGUCCGUCUACCUCUCUCCGCCACCAUCUCUGACGAUUUCCCCCUUUUCCUCACACCAGCCGUCGCACCCUCCGAACACCAAUCCACACACUGAGCCUUCUCCAGGCCCUCCACCCUCGACAUUUCCCCGGCUCUCCUGUCUCCCCUGUUCCUGUUCUGUUCAGCGAAGUCUCAGUCCGUGCUUUCCAGACUAGCCUGAGUUCUAGUUCUGUAGCAUUCUGUAGAUUAGUAUAGCUCGAGUAUCUUCUGUGAGUGUUAUCACUCAUUUGUCUAUUGCCUGGUAUGCCAGCCUAGUUCGAAACACCUUUUCUUCUGGUUUAGGUUAGUAUUGUUGUUCUUGUGUCCUGCAGGUAGUAUAUCUGAGUAAUCCCAGUGAGUGUAGCCACUCUUUUGUUGUGCCUGGUACAGUAUAGGUCUAGUAGUUCCAGUUUAGUUUUCUGUAUACUGUACUCUGUAUUUUCUAGUAUGUGUAGUUUCACUUUCCUACCAAGGCUUUACCUGCAAUAGGUUAGUUAUCUUGCUUUGUAAAUAUCCCUUUGUAUAGUCUGCCAGCCUCUAGGGGCACUACUGAGUGAAUCAGUAUCUGUAAACACCAGUAACCUGGUUCUACUUCCGGUUGUAGUCUUCUGGUUCAGUUUUGUAGUUCUUGUACCUGUUUACCUCUGUAAAUAAAGCUGUUGAAUUUGGAC